rnacentral:rRNA from 1 species
UACAGAGGUGGCAAGCGUUGUUCGGAAUUACUGGGCGUAAAGGGCGCGUAGGCGGUUCGUUAAGUCCUGUGUGAAAUCCCCCGGCUCAACUGGGGAACUGCACAGGAAACUAGCGGGCUUGAGUUCGGGAGAGGGAAGCGGAAUUCCGGGUGUAGCGGUGAAAUGCGUAGAUAUCUGGAGGAACACCGGUUGCGAAGGCGGCAUCCUGGACCGACACUGACGCUGAGGAGCGAAAGCCAGGGGAGCAAACGGG